ensembl:lncRNA
GUCUUGUUCCCAGGGAGUUGGGCUCCUUCCUUCUCCAGACUUUUGUAAACAUGGGCAGUGGUACAUUUAGUACAAGAGCAGCACCUUCUCUCUAGAUCAGGGGAGAAAACAAUCUCCACUCUCUUAUUGCAACGUGUUGGGGGAUCGUAUACACAAAGGGAAAUCAGAUGUGAGAGACUAGAAGUAACAGAUAAAGUCCAUCACGCAUCAAAUAUCUGCAGAAACUACUGUAGGUUGACAAGAUCAAGACAAAACAGAUCGAAUUCCCAGGGUGUGUUUCAGCUGUUGGGAAGCAACAUGGAGGGUCAGAUGAUCAUGAAGGCAGGAGCUGUGUUUUAUUUUCCAUGAAUUCUCUGUGCCGCCCAGUCAAUGUUUGCUGCAUUAAAUCCAGGCACACUUGGUAUAGAAAAUGCAACCUUGUGCCUAUGUUAGUUCUCAUAUUGAAUAUGUCUGGGCCUCUGCCAAUCUUUUCUGUUCUUUGCACUUCACAAAUUGGUGACAGGGCAGCAGAUAC